rnacentral:lncRNA from 1 species
GCCGUGCAUGAAAAUCCGCCUUUGAGCCAGGAGAAAUGCCAUUAAUCAAGUUGAUUUAAGCUGGGUAGAACCAGAGUCAGGACUAGAGACAACACCAGAGCCAGAGCCAGAGCCAGAGCCAGAGCCAUGGUCAGAAGCCAGUAGUUCGCUACUCAUUUGCUCGGUUCAUUGUUCUAUGUUGUGCCAUCAUUAAUUUGUUGGCCAAUUGUUUGCCUUGGCUUCGGUUUCAUUUGCCAUCCAACAACGAAAAUGUUUACAGCAUUUUGGCCAUUGUCACUCCGACCAUUUUCCGGUCUAGAGCACAAACUAUACGUAUUAGUGAGGCACUUUCUAAUAUGAAUUGUUUUGCCUUAAGCUGCUAAGGCGCAUGCCUCGGGGGGAAUCUCAGACGUUUCAGCAUCAGCGUAAUUAAUUAUAGUGAAAUUAAUUUAUUUUGCUCUAUUGUACAUAUCUAUGAAGCGUCUUGGAGAGCGUGUUAACGAUUUGGCAGAGGAUAAGUCGGAUUUCUAGCAUUGUUUCCCUUGAGGUACCUUCCAUUUUGUUUGUAACUAGACUUGCUCCCUCAAUGUUCC